UGAUUGUUUAUAUGCUGAAUUUGUUGUUGCUGUUCAGCAUUUCACAUUUGAUCAUGUCUGAUUGCUUUUAUGAUUUUUUUUAAACAGGUGAUUAAGUAUGAGAGUGUUAUUCAUGAGUUCGAUCCUUAUUUCAACUAUAGAGUCACUCAGUUUCUGACUAAGAAUGGAAUUUAUGACUUCUGGAAUUGGUUUGAUGAUCGGACCUGGUAUCCACUUGGACGAGUGAUUGGUGGAACUGUUUAC
rnacentral:misc_RNA from 1 species